rnacentral:rRNA from 1 species
CACGUAGGCACCAAGCGUUGUCCGGAUUUAUUGGGCGUAAAGAGCUCGUAGGCGGUUCAGUAAGUCGGGUGUGAAAACUCUGGGCUUAACCCGGAGAGGCCACUCGAUACUGUUGAACUUGAGUACGGUAGGGGAGUGGGGAAUUCCUGGUGUAGCGGUGAAAUGCGCAGAUAUCAGGAGGAACACCGAUGGCGAAGGCAGGUCUCUGGGCCACUACUGACGCUGAGAAGCGAAAGCAUGGGGAGCGAACAGG